CAGGCUAGUUCAGAGCGUAAAAGAGAGUUUUAUUUAAUUUUACUUUAUUUUAUAAAUAGAAAAAAAUAUAAAAACUAUAUACAACAAGUGAAACUCUUGUGCAUACAACUAAUCAAAAAGCCAGGGGGAUACAAACAAUAAUGAAAGAAAAACAAAUAAAUAAAAAAGACUUGAAUCAUACCUAAACAUUGUAAAGCUUACACAUGUUAUAUGUUUUCACAUUUUUUUGAUUAGUGCAAUCAACUACAGAUUCAAUAUACUGUUUAAUAUUAGCGUAAAAGAUAGUUGCGACACUGCUGUGGACUUCUGUUGUAGUCGGAGAAUGCGGAAAUGACGCAUGUCGUGGGGCAAACCAUCCACUGACUUGUUCCAGCACUUAACUGCGUUCAUUUCAGUGAUUCCCAAACACACUCGCUGCCAGUUUUGGGAACAAGCUCUUUCUGAUGUGUACCGUGGAGUGGAAUCUGGGUUGAGGCAGUCUGAAAUUUCUUAAAACAUUUUUUAAAAAGGGAGGUGACAACUGUAAGUACAACAGUGUUUUCUUUCUCAUGUCUUUUAUUUUCUCAUGUCUCCCUCUCAUCUCUCUCUCAUGUCUUUAUUUUAAUUCUGGAUGAAUUUAAGUAUGAGGCAAUGGUGACUGAAUGUUAGAAUUUUCGGGUUCACUUGGAGAAAAUCCUGAGUCUCGCUGCUGUUGCUGCUGCCUCUAGAGCUGAAUUCAGGGAAGAGAUGCUAAAGAACCACACAGAGACCGUGACUGAAUAGCAAAACUCUUCGAAAUUUAAUGAGAUAAACAGGGAGUAUUUAUACAGAAGAAAGGUAUAAUCUUCAUUAUUAUCUGUAGGUAAACAAAAGACGUCAGCAGAAACAGACGUGGUGGUUGACGUGUUCACUGGCAGUUUUGUGAGUUUAUUACGAAAAGGCCUAUUUAAGAUAUGGAAGACAGAACUGUUACUGAGUGUCUGUGUUCAGCACAUGUUUUCAAAACAGAACAGAAAGAAUUUCUAGGACAAAACAAAGGAUAUCAUGGUAAUAAGAUGAGGUCAUAAACAAAUGGUGACACACACUCAGCCAAGGGCCAGAGUCAGCCCAGAACAGAGCAUGCCUAGAUAUAGAAUAUAUCACUGAAGAAAUCAGAAAUGGUCAAAACAAGUAAUAAUGGAAUUUAAGAGUUUUGAGUGCUUUUCUCUUUGCUCUAGUAAAACAGUACAGAAGUUAACAGAAGUAAACCACUUAUUAAAUAUUAAUUUAAAAAAAUAUUUAAAAAAUAUUAAAACAAACUGUUCUGGAAUUAAAAUUUGUCAGUAUUCCAUUGUAAGGAUCAAGAUAUAAAUAUAGGUUUUGAUAGAAGUACCCCACUCUUAGAGAAAGCAAUUGGAAACCUUAAAACAAAAUUUUUUUGUUACACACUACUUAAUGUAAAAUUUGUUUUUGAAUUCUUUUUUUUUUCUUUUUACAAAUCUUAGUCAUACUUUCACACAAUCUAGGCUUUGUCUAUUGUAAGACACAGUAUAUAUAGUAUGUAGAAUUAUGAAAAUGAAUAUGCAUGCUUUUGGUAUGUUAUGGCAAGAGUGGGUUGGGGAUCAAGACAAUCGAUUUCAUAGAAAUUCAUAAAGCCAGAAGAAAUGUCUAUCCUGCAAAGUUUUUCUGUCUUCUAACUUGGUGCUAUUGUCUCCUGUCCCUCAGACGCAAAUUGUUCCUUAACAUCUGUAAAAUGAGAUAUUAGACAAAAAGAAAAUGUUAAAAGUUACACAUUGACCUGAAGACAAUUUUUUCAUGUUUGUGUACUAUUACCAUUUUCAGAAAUUAAUUUGCUGCACUGUGUUUAUUGGUGGCAGGCACAAAAGUGCAUGUGACAUUGAAGAUCCAAAAGUGCAGUAAGAUUUUUAAACUAAUUUUAGCUUUAAAUGUUGCUGUGGCACAGCUGUCAGCAACAGUAGUGUACAUUUUCUGUGCAUCAUGUCCUUGAUAUUGUUCACAGUACUUUAAGAAAUUUGCCUUUUGUUCAUGAGACCUAAUCACCCCAGGCAAAAUUUAAUCAUAUCAGAAAUGAGGCACUCAUUAACUGUAGAAGCUUGAAGUCAUGAUUCAAACUGUAUUUAAGGUUUGGUGUUUGUGAAAUUACAGGAUCACAUAUUAGUUAAUUAUAAAAACGAGUCAGUCUAAAGUUUCUUGAGCUAAUUCUCAUACCUGAUUUUAAAGAUUGGGUUCUUCGUGUUAUGGGAUGUUCUGUGUUAGGAUGCAGUGUAUAUAAAGAACCUCAUAAGAAAUGUCAAUUUCUCUUUCUCUCACACACACAUAAUAAAACGAUUAUACUAUAACUAGACUAUCCUUCCCAACUAGAAAUUCUUAAUGUGAUUAAAACCUCAACUGUUUUUGUCCUUUUUUUUUUGGUAAUUGUGUAUGUGUAAAUGUGGACCUUAUCACAUAUCAAACACACACACACACAGCUCCCAUCUGCCAAUUUCCUGCCAAAAAUAUUACAGGAAAACUCCCUGUAAAGGCUAACACUUCCAGAAGUUUCACAUUCUGGAAGAAUGGCAAAAAAAUUUAACAUCUUUAAAAUUCAGCAAAAGUCAAAGAACUUCCAAGGUCCCCAAAACUUCAAGAGACCAUUUACUUCUCAACAGAUAAGAAGUUUUGUUUUAAAAUAAAUUAAAUCAUUCCAUUUUUUGCAUUUUUGCAUGUUUGUAUUAGAAAGUAAUUUUACUUUAUUUAAUUUCAGCAGAGAUGUUCUGUCUACUCUAAAGUCAUGUUUUGAUGUUUUAUUAAAGUUUUAUUUUCAAGAAAUGUUUUUUUUUUACAGUGCAAGAUUAUUUCUAGGAAAUUGUUGGGAAUCUGGUUUCUUAAGCAGUAAUGCAAAAACAUGAUACCACAGAGCUCUUUUAACUGUAUUAAAAAAAACCCUGUGUGCUCUAAGGGGAAGUACAAACUCUUGUGAAGAAACUUGAUACAGAUACUGAGUAAAGAUAUUUUAUAUAACUGCCCAAGAAAGAACAAGUGGAUGAGAAGUACAUAUUUUAUGAUUAUUGAUUUUCACUGAAAGUUGGUGUCCGAGGGGGAGAGCUGCAUCAAUGUUCCAUUGAAAUAAAUACUAGGGCUAUAUGUUUAUUGCACAUAGUACUAGAAGGUUGUAUUCAUAUUUUUAUUCAGUGAAAAAAGGAAUCAUACUUUGAAUCAUAAUUCAAGGUGGUAAAAUUGUUUCACCGAUUGGGAGUUUAGCCAGUCCUACACUAAUAGCCUAUCAUUCUUGCCCAUUUGAGACAUUAAUCAAAACAAAGCCAUUUGUUGACACAGUCAGUGGUGGACACAAAGUUCAAAACCCCAGGAUGCCUUCAUUGUUGGGGAAGGAAAAUGUGAUGGCAUAGAAAAGAGAGAUGAGUUGGGUUUCUUUAUGAGUUGGGUUUCUUUUCUAGCCAUUAUUCUUCCUUCCUCUAGCCAUUUAGCAAUUCUGCCAAAUUAUGAUUUGAAUGGUUAGGGUCCAAGACGUAUUUUAGUGUUAAAUGAAAUUUGAAAUUGAAAGCUCCAAGUGUUCAUUUUUCUUUAAUUUAAUUUUUAAUUUUAUUUAAUAAUCUCACCUGUUUUGUAUAUAUUUGUAAUAUCACUUAAUAUUGUGAUGCUUCAUUUUUAUUUUUCAGUGAGAAAAUUUAUGACAAAAUACAUAAAACAAGAAUUAAUAUACAGUGCAUGUUUUUUUCCAUGUUUUACAUACACUACUCACAAAAAGUUAAGGAUAUUCGGGUUCCGGGUGAAAUUUCAGGAUGCACCUAAAAUGCACUAUAACCUUUACAGGUGAACUUAAUUUGACCUUCUCUACACUUUUGAAUGCACAUGUCCAACUGUUCAGUAUUUCAGUACUUUUUGUAUAACUUGCUGUUCUCUAACAAGGUGCUUAACGGCAAAAUUCACAACUGGUGUUUGAUCCAUGAAUCGAGCAAUAAAUUUUCUGGUUCAAUUAGAAUUGGUAUUUAAACAGUCCUCUUCAUCAUGCUGUUCACAUUUUGACAUCAUGAGAACAAGACAACACCUAACAACUGAUCAACAGUACCUCACCAUUGCAAGGCUUCAAACAGGAUGUUCUCAGAGGGAAGUUGCCACUGAGCUUAGAGUGUCACAGAGUUUCAUCAGCAGGUUGCGACAGAGAUACAGAGAGACUGGAAGAGUCACAGAAAGGCAUAGUGGAUGUCCUUUGGCCACAUCCUACUUUGAUGACCGCUUCAUUGUGAACAGUGCCCUGCGGAACCGGAUGAUGAAUGCCACUCAACUCCAGGCACGUUUAAGGGAGGUGAGAAGCACCCAAGUGUCAGGUCAGACCAUUCAAAACUGUUUACAUCAGCGUGGUCUGCGUGCUAGAUGAUCUGCAAGGGUACCUGACCAUACCACCAGGCACAGGCGUUGGGCCAGGGAGCAUUUACACUGGACGAGGGACCAGUGGGCCUCAGUGCUGUUCUCUGAUGAAAGUUGAUUCACGAUGAGCAGAAAUGAUGGCUGCCAAUAAUGUUGGAGACGUCAAGGAGAGCGCUAUGCAUCAGCCACUGUUGUGGUGGUGUUACAGUCUGGGCAGGUGUGUCUACUCAAUACAGAACUGCCCUACAUCUUGUGAAUGGUACAGUGACAAGCCAAUACUGCCUGAAUAACAUAAUUAAUCCUGUCAUUGUGCCCCUGCAUGAACAACACAGAUCUAAUUUCAUCUUCAUGGACAACAAUGCUCCAGCUCAUUGAGGUCGUGUCGGAACUCAGAGCCCCCCUCCGAGUGGACAUAUCACAGGGUGGAAUUUUUGUUUGUAUCUAUUUCUCUUAGCUUUCCCAGUGACCUCCACAAGCUAUAAAACUUAGCCGAAAUAAAAGAGAUCUCAGUCAACAGAUGAGAAGAAGCGGGUUUCUUUAUUCAGCCAUGCAGUCAACAACAUGCAUAUCUGAAGAGAGCAGCUGGUCUCUCUGACCCCGAAAAAGUCCCCUCUACUUAUACCCAGGCGCCCCGGGGCGCCUCCUUUUCUCUAAUUUAAAUAUUUCCAGCAAUUUCCCAUUAUAUUCAGUGUAUGGCUACUUUAGUCCCUCCUUUCUUAGUUUACAUACGUUUCCCAGUUCCCAUUAUUUUCACAUUUGUCCCGAUACCGCCCCUAAAUUGAUACCAUCCUCCCCUUAUUUUUAGGCUAAGUCUAAAGUUUAAGCUUACUUAUAGGCGCCACUUCCUUAUUGACUUCAUUUGACCGUCACCUCUUAAAGGUGCUUCCUCAGCUCAUCCUGACCUCGCGCAUUGCCCCCCCCCAACAAUGUGUAAGUACCUUGCUCUCUUCCUCUAUGUCAUGAUGACUUUUCCCUCUACCUACUUGAUCUAAGUUUUAUUUACUAUUUUUUAAAAUAAGCUGUGCCAUUAAGCUGCCUCAUAUCCUUUUCUCUUUUCAUCACUGUUGGUUGCUAGUAUUCCAAUGCUAUUGUCUCCUCUACCUGCCUAUCACUGUCAUGUCACAGUGACCUGGCCUACUUCCCACACUGUGUUCCUUUUGCCUUAGUACACGCUCUCUUUUACUGACUACAUAGUCACGCAAUAUGCACUUCACUCAUCUUCACUCAUCUCUUCCCAUUUCCCAUUAUUUUUUCCUAGCUCAGUCAGCCCGCCACACUAUCUUCCGGAGAAGUCCCAGAGGUGCUCUGCGACGCUAUCGCCAGUAUCAGCUAUCCUGUCUGGCCAUUGAACUUACUGGUUUCCUGGAGCACCUAUCUGAAUCCUCUAUUCCUGAGUCUCCUUACCUCGCUCACCAUAUCGUGAGAGAUACCGUCUGUCUUGAUCAGAGCACCCAAUUUCACCCCACAACCUGUGAUCAGUCUACUCAGACCUUCUAUUGGCAUUGGACACGGACCACCUCUCAAGGCGUCCAGACUGAGGAUUUCCCUGUUGAGAUCUCCUCUAAUGAUUCUUCCUCUGACACUUCUUCAUCUCCUAAUUCCCCUGACAUCCCCCAACUUUCUCCUGAAUUUGUGCCUAUGCCUUACAGUGUUCAUGAUAUUCCUCAGUCUUCUCCUGACUAUUCGCCCCCAACUUCUCCCACUGAUUACUCUCCAACUUCUCCUCAGGAUCCCGAGAUUCCGUCUUCUACAACUGACCCCCUGGUCCCACUGAUCCCAUUGGAUAGGCUGGCUGACUGAGUUGUAACUCCUAAUGUUUCAAUAAAUCUCUCCUCUUUUCUGUUUCUUCAGUCCCAGUGUGGUUAUUAUGCUAGCAUGCUGCCAUUAAUAAUUCUGCAUGAUUAUUAUAAAGACUAUGAGGCUAUAUCUGAUUAUAAUAGCUAUUAUUAAUCAAAGUUAACUACUUAAUCAAUGGCUAAAUAAUUCUUGAUAGAUACACACUACUCUUAGGCAGAAUAUUGCUAAGUCAGAGCUUAGAGCAUUGAGUACAUUAUUACUUAAGCUACUUUUAAAGCUAGGUAUAUAAUUCAAAGCUGGGUAUAUUAUUUUUUCUCCGACAGUCGCAUCAUUAGGGAAUGGCUGGUGAAGGCUGGGGUACCUCAAAUGGCGUGGCCUGCACUUUCUCCAGACCUGAAUCCCAUACAAAACCUAUGGGAUCAACUGAGUCGCCGUGUAGAGGCUCAUAACCCUGCACCCCAGAACCUCAAUGACCUGAGGGCCGCCCUUCAAGAAGAGUGGAAUGCCAUGCCUCAGCAGACAGUCGAUUCGUGAACAGGGCACAUGACAAAUUAUUGAGACAUUGACAUUUUUUGUUGUGGUAUACCCACCACUGUUGUUGUCUUUUGUUUCAAUAAAUUGUUUGAGAUGAGGAAAUCACCAUUGUAUGCUUCUACUUAAAUGCCCUUCUUUCAUGAUAUAAUAUCACUGUAAUGUGAACUUUUUACAUUUUCCAUAAAUUUCACCCAAAAGCCAAAUAUCCUUAACUUUUUGUGAGUAGUGUAUGUAAGUGAGAUGUGCGCUGAUCAUGCUAGAAGGUGUUGUUACUUGUCUAGAAUGUCUAGAAAGCAGCUAAAAUAAGAAACUCCUAAUGUAGAGUGGAAAAGAACAGAUUAUAUAUUAUUUAUUUAUUUAUAUUUAUAUAUAUAUUUAUAUAUUAUGUAUUAUUGAAUACUUUUUGUUGCCUGGUUUUCCCAGUUUAGUUUACACAGUUAUUUUCACUGAUAGCUUAUUUAUAUGGCCUGGAGCAGCAGUUCCAUUCUUGUUCAUUUUAGGCAUAAGCAUAGUUGUUCAUAACCUUGUUCUUAUUGCUGGCAACGUUGCAAAUAUCAGUAACUCAAAGUUUGUACAUGUAGAAUGUUUGUGGUCUCCCUUCUUCUCUUCACAUGUCAGCAAUUUUGCUUUGUCCUCCUUCUCCAUGUUCCCUUUGUUCUCAAAUUCUCACUAUCAUUUUGGAAGCAAUCCUGCUUCAUCCUGCUUUUCUUAUGUUGCUGGCAAUUCCUCUGGGUCCUCUUCUUCUUCCUGCUGCCACUCCUCCACCAAUGGUGGGGUACUCUCCCACAUGUGGUGUUCUGGUUCUUUUGAGUUGAGGUAACUUGUGUGUUUGUGGAGCUUGUGAUGCUAAAGUUGGCUUUACUCUUCAAAGUAUCUUAAAAAGGUCCUGCUCCUGUCCUUGAACUCUCACACCUCUCACACCUUCCUCUGAUGUCCUUUGGUCUGGUACCCUAAUACAGUGAUUCUUCUGCUUUCACUGCUGUAGGUGUAGCUAACCACUUUAAAUGCCCCAACCAUUCUGGGACCAUUCUACCUUCUUUUGAAGAUUUUGAUGUACACCCAGUCUCUUGGCUGUACUGUUCUUAGUUCUUCAUCAAUUUCACUUGUCCUUUAGAGGCACCUUUUACCUGUUGGAAUAUAGCUUCGUUUCAGUCAGGUUCUUCACAUAAUUGCACUUGUCACCUUGAAACUGCUCAAGUUGAGUACCUUUUAUAAGGUCUUCAUAAAAAGGUUAUAGGCAUAGGCUGGCCAGUAAGCAUUUCAUGUGGGGUUAGAUGCGUUAAGCCAUUAGUUUGCAUUCUCAUACUCAUACAAAGCUAGGUGGCAAAGCUUGCACCCAAUUCAUCUUUCCAGCUUUACAAAUCUUUUUUUUGAUUUGCCAGUUUUGCCUUCAAUAUUCUGUUAACUCUUUCCACCAUUCCCUGCAACUGUGGAUGAAAAAACACACUGUAAUCUGCGCCUUAUUCCCAAGUACUGAAAUACUCUUCAAAUCACAUUAUUUACAAAAUGACUGCCACUCUCAGAGCUAAUUUUAUCCAGAAUUCCAAACCUCGGAAUAACUUCUCUGCACAAAAACAUGAAAGCCAACUUUAGCAUCACAACCUCCACAAACACAAGUUACCUCAACAAAAACAUUUUGAACUCCAAAAAAAAGACACUGGGUUGAAGAUUACUUUCAAAUAAAAUACUAUGCUGAGGCUCAUAGUGCGAAGAGGUCGCCAACUUUCUGCAGAGUCAAUCGCUACAGACCUCCAAACUUCAUGUGGCCUUCAGAUUAGCUCAAGAACAGUGCGCAAAGAGCUUCAUGGAAUGGGUUUCCAUGGCCGAGCAGCUGCAUCCAAGCCAGACAUCACCAAGUGCAAUGCAAAGCGUCGGAUGCAGUGGUGUAAAGCAUGCCGCCACUGGACUCUAGAGCAGUGGAGACACGUUCUCUGGAGUGACGAAUCACGCUUCUCCAUCUGGCAAUCUGAUGGACGAGUCUGGGUUUGGCGGUUGCCAGGAGAACAGUACUUGUCUGACUGCAUUGUGCCAAGUGUAAAGUUUGGUGGAGGGGGGAUUAUGGUGUGGGGUUGUUUAUCAGGAGCUGGGCUUGGCCCCUUAGUUCCAGUGAAAGGAACUCUGAAUGCUUCAGCAUACCAAGACAUUUUGGACAAUUCCAUGCUCCCAACUUUGUGGGAUCAGUUUGGAGCUGGCCCCUUCCUCUUCCAACAUGACUGUGCGCCAGUGCACAAAGCAAGGUCCAUAAAGACAUGGAUGACAGAGUCUGGUGUGGAUGAACUUGACUGGCCUGCACAGAGUCCUGACCUCAACCCGAUAGAACACCUUUGGGAUGAAUUAGAGCGGAGACUGAGAGCCAGGCCUUCUCGUCCAACAUCAGUGUGUGACCUCACAAAUGCGCUUCUGGAAGAAUGGUCAAAAAUUCCCAUAAACACACUCCUAAACCUUGUGGACAGCCUUCCCAGAAGAGUUGAAGCUGUUAUAGCUGCAAAGGGUGGGCCGACGUCAUAUUGAACCCUAUGGAUUAGGAAUGGGAUGUCACUUAAGUUCAUAUGCGAGUCAAGGCAGGUGAGCGAAUACUUUUGGCAAUAUAGUAUAUCUUUGUCGGCUAUGUCGGCCAGUUUCAUCUCAAGAUCGGGUUGACUUACACCUGCAAAUGCAGUCAUGUUCAAUAGGAAUGGAUUGAUGGUCAGGGAAGUGACAAGGAAGGUGUCGCGCAUCAGCGGUUGUGACGCAUAUUUUGAGCGGCAAAAAAUUAAACACGUUUUAUUUUAAUGUUACAAGAUCACCAUAAUCUUUAAAUUUAGAAUUACAUUUAAAAAGCUAAUGGACUAAAAUAAAAUAAAUUUAAAUUAAAUACUCAUUACUUAUUUUCCAAAGCCACAGGGAGCCACAGCGGAGGGAUGAAAGAGCCACAUGCAGCUCUGGAGCUACGGGUUGCUGACCCCUGGUCCAGACCAUGUGCAUCAUUAAUCAUAGUGGUAAGUAGUGAAAGAGGAGCCACAAAAUGUCCUCAAGGACCAUACCAUAUUCCUGCUUUGUCAUUUUUAGGUGCCCCCUUUGUUACCAUUUUGGGAUUUCAUAAACAGAAGCAGCAUCCUGUGCCUUAGAUAGGGUUAAAUCCCCUUUUUUAUGGGGUUUGCCAUAUGGUUUCACAACUACAAAUAUGUUUGAGUGCCCCAAUGCUGAUUGUUUAGCUGCCUAAUUUGCUGCAGUGUUCCCUCUACUUGCAAAGGAACUGUCUGUCUUGCGCUGAACAUUUGACAAAAAGUUUUGCUGCCAGUGUGAUAGCAUGCAACAAUGUAGUAAUAGCCAAACCGUGUGAAAAUGGUGUUCCAUCUGCCCAUAAAAGGUCUCUCUUUACCUAGGUGGAACCAAAGUAGUGACACAAACAUAGGUGUAUUGUGAGUUUAUAAAAAUUGUACAAAACUUUCCUGCAGGAAGUGCCCUCAGCUCUUCCAAAUUGCACUGAAUAUGGCUCUGGACUGUACAGUAACAAUACCUGUUAAGUAAUGAUUAAGCAUCACAAUUGCGUAACCAGAGUAAAUUGCUUAAAGCAUUGUUAGUUCCGUGGGACACCUGCAGAAUCUGUGUAUGUUGAAGCACACUGAUAAAUGUGUGGAGAAAAUCAAGUUCAAAGCUAAAACAUACAGUAUAAUUCAAAAUGCACAAAUUAGCCAUAAGCUUAGAAUAAUUAACAUGGAAAAGGGAUGGUGACUCUGACAUACCAAUGAUGUCUUCUCAACAUGAAAUGAGAAUGUUUCACAUUGCAAAAAAACAUAAUGAUAGGGUAUAAGACACCCUUUUUUUCACUCAUUCAAGUUUCAUAUUGAAGCUGAAUGGGAAUGUGAAAGUAGAAUAUGAUGAUGUUUAGGAAAGCCCCAAACUUUCCACAAAAGAAAAAUAGGUGGAGCUUUUUCGACUUGAGGAGUUAGGCGGAUGUCAUCAUGUGUGAUAAGAAACAUGGAUAUAGACACUGAACUUUGAAACUAAAGUUUGUGGGGUUGAUGACGUGAGCACCUUGUAAUUUUAUACUCAGCGCUAACUGCAAUAAAACCUCAUCUCUGCAGCAAGUCUGUAGUAUCUGGCAUUUUCUUAUUUAGUUUAAGUUUGCUUGUUUGACUGAGCUAGUCUGGUGAAUGUGGUGAUUGGUGUGAGAUAAAUUAGCUUCAGGAGGAAGAAUUAUUAUUAUUAUUUUUACCACAUUGUUUUGGUGACCCCGACAUGAUUUGGAAUAAAACACAAUGGCACCCCAGAUCUGGGAAAUGUGGUUGUGGCUGCCACUCAUAGACCAGACACCUGGCCAUUUAGGAGAAAGGUACUAUGGUCUGAUCUAGCCUGAAGUGCCUUCUCCAACCUCAAACUCAGGUUCACUACAGAUCAGAUCUUGCGUCAGAUCUUGUCAUCUUAACCCAGACCUCCCCUUCAUGGUAGAAGUAGGUGCUUCUAGCUGCAGAAUAAGUGGUCUUAUCCCAAUGUCAUGGUGAACAUGGCAAGCUUUACCCCUGUGCAUAUUAUUCCAGAAAACUAACCACAGCUGAGGCCGAUUACGACGUGGGUAACAGGGAACUAUUGUCCAUAAAGGCUGCCUUGGAGGAAUGGAGACACUAGUUAGAAGGGAGCCAGCAUCCCUUCCUCUUCCUGACAGACCACACCCUGGAAUACCUCUGUGGGGCCAAACGCCUGAAUCCACACCAAGCUCGGUGGGCUCAAUUUUUUUUUCAUGAUUUCAGUUUUCUGUCAUGUAUCGCCCGGGGUCCAAGAACAGCAAAGCAGACGCCCUGUCCAGGCUUCACCCUGAACCCAUCCUCCCGUCAUCCAUUAUUCUGGAUCCUAUUCAAUGGAGCCUGGUGGAGGAAAUUCAACGAGCUCCUGUAGAAGAACCGCCACCCGAGACCUGCCUGCCGUCACAUCUCAUCUAGAUUCAGAACACCAGAGGGAGCCCUCUGCCAAGUUUUGAAACACACUUCCGGGUUUUCUACACAGACAUAAAAGCACUGCACACACAGCAAACCAUGCAAAGUAUCAUUCCUCUUUUGCUGACAUACCAAGCCGUGCUACAUUAUUUGUGUUGGACUUAUUAUGUAUGACCACUGCCUGUUUCUCUAACCCCGUUCUUGUUUUGUGCCUUUGGUUUUGUUUAUUGAGUGUGUUGUUUUCCAGUUUUCUGAUCCUUGCCUCGUUUUUGUAAUAAUAAACUGCUCAUGAAUCCUA